GCGAGGAGCACCAGGCGACCCACGGCCCGGACGCUGGUGCCUGACGCUGAAGGUGGCGGUGACGGUGACGCUUCCUGCCCAGCACCUGCCGCGGCUCCCCAGCUGCGUCUCACCACGGAGGUGACAGAGUCAGCAGCCGCGGGGCAGCAGCAGCAGCAGCGGCCAGCCCGGGGAGGCGGCCGUCGGGGGUGACGCAGUGACGUGACCGACGAGGCCGAACAUGAGAGUGUGCUGUGGAGCGCCGAGGAGACAACACCCGCAUGACGCUGAGACCCGCUGAUGAGACUCGCCUUUCUUGCCGACGAGAAAAAGUGGACGGACAAAAGAACAAAAAAGAUUACCCUGGAAUGUUGUUGUUCUCUCAAAAGGGAGGAUGACAACAAAG